rnacentral:rRNA from 1 species
AGGACGAACGCUGGCGGUGUGCUUAACACAUGCAAGUCGAGCGAGAAGCCAGGGGCUUGCCCUUGGUGGACAGCGGCGAACGGGUGAGUAACACGUGGGCAACCUGCCCCAGACACUGGGAUAACUCCGGGAAACCGGGGCUAAUACCGGAUACUCCGAUCGGAUCACAUGUUCUGAUCGGGAAAGCUCCGACGGUCUGGGAUGGGCCCGCGGUCUAUCAGCUUGUUGGUGGGGUAAUGGCCCACCAAGGCGUCGACGGAUAGCUGGCGUGAGAGCGUGGCCAGCCACACUGGGACUGAGACACGGCCCAGACUCCUACGGAGGCAGCAGUGGGGGAAGUACUUGCGCAAAUAGAGA